AGCCUCAUACAGUUGAAAAUGGGCACUGUUGUUCAUGGUGCCCGUAAAUUGUUAAUGUGGCUACAUUGAGAACACAGGUUUUGCUUCCAUCACUGUAAUUUCAUUGCGGUGGUGACAAUGAGACCUGCAACAUUU
ensembl:snoRNA small nucleolar RNA SNORA1